CGUCCCCACCACAUUCCGCAGUCUGCUCUAUGGUUCGCUGAGAGAUAUGGUGUGAUGUGUGAAAACAGUUAUGAUAGGGCAUGACAGAGUACGGUUAUGUUAACUCGGGUUAGCCGCGGGAUGUGGUUUCAGCAUAAAUGAGGUAUUAAUUAAGUGUGAAAAAUACACCGAUCGCGUCGAUGACUAAGACCGGUUGAUCUAUAUAAAGUGAAUUAUGGAAACGACAACGAGGAUCCCUCCGAAUUUGUCUCAUCAGCAUCUAAUGGGUGAAGAGCAUCAAAAUCCCUUAGGUGGACAACCGAAGCGGAUUACCCCGGUGGAAAGGGUUGUCACAUUACGCGAAUGGCUAACCGUACUUGUAUUAUGCUUCGUUAAUCUGAUCAACUACAUGGACAGAUUUACUAUCGCAGGAAUUUUGACAGACAUUCAAAAGAAUUACAACAUAGGAGAUGACUUGGGCGGCUUGCUUCAAACAGCCUUUAUAGUAAGCUAUAUGAUCUUUGCACCUUUAUUUGGAUACCUUGGAGAUCGGUACAACAGAAAAUUCAUCAUGAGUUUUGGAGUCUUUCUUUGGUGCCUUACAACCUUUAUUGGCUCUUACAUGCAGAGUUUCGAAUGGUUUUUGGUAUUUCGAAUGUUCGUUGGUAUUGGCGAGGCUAGUUACUCGACCAUAGCCCCUACCAUCAUAAGCGACUUGUUCGUCAAAGACGUUCGAUCAAAGAUGCUAGCCCUGUUCUACUUUGCCAUACCGGUCGGAAGUGGUUUAGGGUACAUAACGGGGAGCAAGACUGCAGAAUUUGCUGGUUCCUGGCACUGGGGGCUACGCGUUACCCCAGUAUUAGGUAUACUGGCAGUAUUUCUGAUUUUAUUAGUGGUACAGGAUCCUGUUAGGGGUGAAAGAGAAGGAGGGAGUCAUAUUCACAGCACUUCAUGGACAGACGAUAUCAAAUCCCUGUGUAGAAAUCCUAGCUUCAUGCUAUCCACCGCAGGAUUCACCUGCGUCUCAUUCGUCGCUGGAGCAUUGGCAUGGUGGGGACCUUCGUUUAUUCACUUGGCCCUCACACUCCAGCCUAAUGGAGGAAAAGAAAUUACCUUAUCCGACGUUUCAUACAAAUUCGGAAUCAUAGCUAUGAUUGCGGGGAUUAUUGGAGUCCCGCUAGGAUCAAUUAUGGCACAACGAUUAAGGGUGAAAUGGCGAAACGCGGAUCCACUGAUUUGUGCUGUUGGCUUACUUAUUAGCACGCCUUUUCUUUUCUUCGGAAUCAUUACUGCCAGUACAAAUUCAAUUCUUUGUUAUACCCUCAUAUUUUUUGGACAGCUCGCAUUGAAUCUUAACUGGUCAAUUGUAGCUGAUAUGUUACUGUAUGUCGUCCUACCGACAAGAAGGUCAACUGCAGAAGCUUUUCAAAUUUUAAUAGCACACAUGUUAGGAGAUGCGGGAAGUCCAUAUAUUAUUGGAUUAGUAUCUCAGGCAUUGAAAAAGGCACUGAGCCCAACGACCCUCGUAAUCGGCGAUGAAGAUAAAAAUGAAUACGACGCAGUGACUAAAUUUCGUAGUCUACAAUACGCCCUCUUCAUAACAACAUUUAUCGAAAUAAUUGGUGGCCUUUUCUUCUUUUUCACGGCUCUGUACAUACAGAAGGACAAGGCUGUAGUCGAUCUUUCAAUCGCAGGUCUGAUUUGGUGAUUAAUAGACAAGAUGAAUGUAAGAACAGAAUUUAAUUCUUGCUUGACGCCGAGAACUCAAAGAAAAAUGUCUAGACACUAAGAAUAAUGGGCAGUCAGAAUCAACGCGUUUAUAGAUCAUCAGAGGGCUGCCACCUGAUAGUGUGCUGUAUAUCUGAUGAAACAGUUUCAGAAACAUUGCAAUACUACGAUGACGAGCUUCCAAAUAGCACAACAAAUUGAAUGGAAAAACAGUGAUUAAGAAUUUCGGUUCUGUACUAACAAAGUUUUU
rnacentral:misc_RNA from 1 species